rnacentral:rRNA from 1 species
AUUGAACGCUGGCGGCAGGCCUAACACAUGCAAGUCGAGCGAGCGGCGGACGGGUGAGUAAUGUAUGGGGAUCUGCCCGAUAGAGGGGGAUAACUACUGGAAACGGUGGCUAAUACCGCAUACUAUCGGAUGUGCCCAUAUGGGAUUAGCUAGUAGGUGGGGUAAAGGCUCUCCUAGGCGACGAUCCCUAGCUGGUAUGAGAGGAUGAUCAGCCACACUGGAACGGAGACACGGUCCAGACUCCUACGGGAGGCAGCAGUGGGGAAUAUUGCACAAUGGGCGCAAGCCUGAUGCAGCCAUGCCGCGUGUGUGAAGAAGGCCUUAGGGUUGUAAAGUACUUUCAGCGAGGAGGCGUUACUCGCAGAAGAAGCACCGGCUAACUCCGUGCCAGCAGCCGCGGUAAUUC